GUGGGUUUUCUUUGAUCAGGGCAGUGUCAGGGUGCUGAUGCCUCUAUCAGGGGACAGAGAAGGCCUGCUUGACCCCAUCACAACCAUCAUCAGUGUUGAUACCCCAAGGGAUAAACUACAGCUGAGAGGUGUUUUUCUCCAGCCAGGCACUCAUUGAUGGAAGCAUCAGUUACUGCUCCCCUGCUUUGCACAUGAAGUGAAGUGCUUUGCUCUUGGACAGUAGCCAUGAAGUAGACCAAGAAGAAUUGCACACAGUCCCUUUGUAUGUGUACAACUACCCACUCCUAAAUCAGAAAGAGGAGCACUGCUGAGUGAAAUGACC